UACGUAGGGUGCGAGCGUUGUCCGGAAUUAUUGGGCGUAAAGAGCUCGUAGGCGGUCUGUCGCGUCUGCUGUGAAAUCCCGAGGCUCAACCUCGGGCCUGCAGUGGGUACGGGGCAGACUAGAGUGCGGGUAGGGGGAGAUUGGAAUUCCUGGUGUAGCGGUGGAAUGCGCAGAUAUCAGGAGGAACACCGAUGGCGAAGGCAGAUCUCUGGG
rnacentral:rRNA from 1 species